GCAGGAGUAACUCAAUGGUAGAGUGUAACCUUCCCAAGGUUAAGGUUGCGAGUUCGAUCCUCGUCUCCUGCU
rnacentral:tRNA from 1 species